rnacentral:rRNA from 1 species
AAUGGUGGAGGUGUUACACCCGUUCCCAUUCCGAACACGGAAGUUAAGCCCUCUAACGUCAAUGGUACUGCGCCUCAAAGACGCGGGAGAGUAGAAAAUCGCCAGGC